AAGGAAGGGUGGGGACGACGUCAAGUCAUCAUGGCCCUUAUGUCCUGGGCUACACACGUGCUACAAUGGCCGGUACAGAGCGCAGCGAGGCCGCGAGGCGGAGCGAAUCGCUUAAAGCCGGUCCCAGUACGGAUUGGAGUCUGCAACCCGACUCCAUGAAGUUGGAAUCGCUAGUAAUCGCGCAUCAGCAUGGCGCGGUGAAUACGUUCCCGGGCCUU
rnacentral:rRNA from 1 species